AUGGCCUGGGCCCCUCUGCUCCUCACGCUGCUCACGUACUGCUCAGGGGUCAGUUCGCAGCCCGUGGUGACUCAGGAGCCCUCGAUGUCGGUGACCCCAGGAGGGGCUGUCACUCUGUCCUGCAGCCUGAGCACUGGAGCCGUCACCACCAGCAACUAUCCAGCCUGGCACCAGCACAAACCUGGCACUGCUCCUCGGCAGCUUAUAUGCAACACCAAUACCAGACCCUCCGGGAUCCCUGCCCGGUUCUCUGGGUCCAUAUCCGGUAACAACGCUGCCCUGACCAUCACCGGUGUCCAGGCAGAGGAUGAGGCUGACUAUUACUGUGUUGUGUAUACCGGCAGUAGUAGUUGGACUCACACCAGCACCAUGCACGUGCCUGUCUCUGACUCUUGGCUCGGGCGGCUCAUUGCCAGCUCCAGCUACACACAGCCAAGCCCAAACUUCUCAUAG